ACCUGGGUGGUGCAAAGAGUUAACAUUCUUGGCUACUAAUCAAAAAAAUUGGAGGUUUGAAUCCACCCACAGGUG
rnacentral:tRNA from 1 species